rfam:Porphyrobacter dokdonensis DSW-74 DSW74_contig02, whole genome shotgun sequence.
GCGGGACUGCCCGGCACGAGCCGACUGAAUAUCCCUGAGGCUAUAAGCAAUCCAUGGGAGCUGUCCCUGCCCGGGUUCGCGGGUUCGUCCCGAGCGCUCGGGUAAACGGCGCCCACCUGACGUUACUGGCGUCAGAGGAUUUCUAGUGCAAACGACCCAUGGUGGUUCCGCC